GAUGAACGCUGGCGGCGUGGUUAAGGCAUGCAAGUCAAGGGGUCCGCAAGGACACCGGCAGACGAGGUAGGAAUACAGAGGUACGAACCGAGAAGUCAGGAAUAGCUAGUCGAAAGAUUAGGUAAUACUUGAUGGUCCCGAAAGGGUAAAGAUUUAUCGCUUCUUGAUCGGCCUCUGCGCUAUCAGCUAGUUGGUAAGGUGAUGGCUUACCAAGGCUAAGACGGCUAGGGGAGGUGAGAGCCUGACCCCCACCGAUGGGACUGAGACACGGCCCAUACACCUACGGGUGGCUGCAGUCGAGAAUCUUCCSCAAUGGACGCAAGUYUGACGGAGCGACGCCGCGUGAUUGAUGAAAUCCUUCGGGAUGUAAAAAUCUUUUAUGAGCGAGAAAGUUUUACGUG
rnacentral:rRNA from 1 species